AUUGACCGCUGGCGGCAGGCCUAACACAUGCAAGUCGAGCGAGCGGCGGCCGGGUGAGUAAUGUCUGGGAAACUGCCUGAUGUAGGGGGAUAACUCCUGGAAACGUUAGCUAAUAUCGCAUACCAUCAGAUGUGCCCAGAUGGGUUUAGCUAGGAGGUGGGUUAACGGCUCACCUAGGCGACGAUCCCUAGCUGGUCUGAGAGGAUGACCAGCCAAACUGGAACUGAGACACGGUCCAGACUCCUACGGGAGGCAGCAGUGGGGAAUAUUGCACAAUGGGCGAAAGCCUGAUGCAGCCAUGCCGCGUGUGUGAAGAAGGCCUUCGGGUUGUAAAGCACUUUCAGCGGGGAGGCGUUACCCGCAGAAGAAGCACCGGCUAACUCCGUGCCAGCAGCCGCGGUAAUAC
rnacentral:rRNA from 1 species